UACGUAGGGUGCGAGCGUUGUCCGGAUUUAUUGGGCGUAAAGGGCUCGUAGGCGGCCUGUCGCGUCGGGAGUGAAAGCCCACUGCUUACGGUGGGUCUGCUUUCGGUACGGGCGGGCUAGAGUAUGGCAGGGGAGACUGGAAUUCCUGGUGUAGCGGUGGAAUGCGCAGAUAUCAGGAGGAACACCGGUGGCGAAGGCGGGUCUCUGGGCCAUUACUGACGCUGAGGAGCGAAAGCGUGGGGAGCGAACAGG
rnacentral:rRNA from 1 species